rnacentral:rRNA from 1 species
GAUACCCUAUUAUUUUAAAUGUGAUUUUUUUACCUGGAUUAUUAUUAGUUAUGGUCUUUAAAAUUAAAAAAUUUGGCGGUAUUUUAGUCUGUUCAGAGGAACCUGUUUCUUAAUUGAUGGUCCACGAUGAUUUUUACUUUAACUUUAAGUUUGUAUAUCGUCGUUUAUAAAAAUUUUAGUAGAAUGUUAAUUUUUUUGUUGUGGGAUUUUUAAUUUAUUUCAGAUCAAGGUGUAGUUUAUGUUGAAGUUGGGAUGGGUUACAUUGUAAUUAUAGUUGGAAUUUUAAUUUAAAAUUUUAAUGAAAUUGGAUUUGAUAGUAAAUUCUUUGUUUUUGGGAUUUGAUUUAGCUCUAAAAUAUGUACA